rnacentral:rRNA from 1 species
UCAAUCUCGUGCGACUAGGAGCCGCCUGUCCCUCUAAGAAGAUAAAUGUGUACGCCGGCAGUAAAAACCGCGAACACCCGACCGGACGGACGGGGNNNCAACGCGACCGCCGACCGCACCGGCGAACGGGAGACGCGAGCCUUCGAGAUGCCGGAAAGUAACGCCUAUUUAGCAGGCUAGAGUCUCGUUCGUUAU